GGGUCCGUAGCUCAGUGGUAGAGCGCGCGUCUUAUAAGCGCGUGGUCGCAGGUUCGACCCCUGCCGGGCCCA
rnacentral:tRNA from 1 species